GCUGGGCACAGUGGUGCAUGCCUGUAAUCCCAGAAGCUUGGGAGGCCAAGGCAGGAGAACAGCUCGUUCAAAGCCAGCCUCAGCAAAAGCGAGGCGCUAAGCAACUCAGUGAGACCCUGUCUCUA
rnacentral:sRNA from 1 species